rnacentral:rRNA from 1 species
UACAGAGGGGGCAAGCGUUGUUCGGAUUUACUGGGCGUAAAGGGCUCGUAGGCGGCCAACUAAGUCGGAUGUGAAAUCCCCAGGCUUAACCUGGGAACUGCAUCCGAUACUGGAUGGCUUGAAUCCGGGAGAGGGAUGCAGAAUUCCAGGUGUAGCGGUGAAAUGCGUAGAUAUCUGGAGGAAUACCGGUGGCGAAGGCGGCAUCCUGGACCGGCAUUGACGCUGAUGAGCGAAAGCUAGGGGAGCAAACGGG